rnacentral:tmRNA from 1 species
GGGGUCGACAUGGAUUUGACAGCAGGACGGAACGUUGUGUAAGCACGCAGAGAGUUGGCAGCCGCUCUCUUAAAUCCCUGACCGCCGAACAAUUAACUGGCGAAAGAAACUACGCUCUCGCUGCCUGAUUGAAGUAUAGUAGAUCUUUGGCUUAAUCGCGGCACCAGGUGCUGCGACGAGAUGUCACCCGGAGGCUCACCGCCCCGAAGCGCUCCGAACCGGUGGCACAGCAAAAUCGGGGAUAGCCAGCAGCGGCCUCGCACUGCUGGUGAAAACUUAGAGGAUAAGGCGUUGGUUGGUGGCUUGGGUCUUGCCGGCGCACGAAAACGAAGUCCAAGAUAAGCGUGUAGAAAGCACAGGGUUUCCCUGUUUGGACGAGGGUUCAAUCCCCUCCGGCUCCACU